rnacentral:misc_RNA from 1 species
UCCGGUUUAUCACCGGCAGUCCCCGUAGAGUCCCCGCCAUUACGCGCUGGCAACUACGGGCAAGGGUUGCGCUCGUUGCGGGACUUAACCCAACAUCUCACGACACGAGCUGACGACAGCCAUGCAGCACCUGUGCACGUGUCCCGAAGGAGGGCCCCUGUUUCCAGGGGCUUUCACGUGCAUGUCAAGCCCAGGUAAGGUGGGGAUGACGUGUGCGUAACAGAA